rnacentral:lncRNA from 1 species
CUAAAAUAUUCACACAGACUCUGGUAGGGACGCGCUCGCCACUUAUAAUGAACUUAUUAAACACUUCUAUCUCU